GGCGGCAUGCUUUACACAUGCAAGUCGAACGGCAGCACGGGGGCAACCCUGGUGGCGAGUGGCGAACGGGUGAGUAAUAUAUCGGAACGUGUCCUGUAAUGGGGGAUAACGCAGCGAAAGUUGUGCUAAUACCGCAUACGAUCUACGGAUGAAAGCGGGGGACCGCAAGGCCUCGCGUUAUAGGAGCGGCCGAUAUCGGAUUAGCUAGUUGGCGGGGUAAAGGCCCACCAAGGCGACGAUCCGUAGCUGGUCUGAGAGGAUGAUCAGCCACACUGGGACUGAGACACGGCCCAGACUCCUACGGGAGGCAGCAGUGGGGAAUUUUGGACAAUGGGGGCAACCCUGAUCCAGCCAUGCCGCGUGAGUGAAGAAGGCCUUCGGGUUGUAAAGCUCUUUCGCGAGGAAAGAAACGGUGCGCGCUAAUACCGCGUACUAAUGACGGUACCUCGAGAAGAAGCACCGGCUAACUACGUGCCAGCAGCCGCGGUAAUACGUAGGGUGCGAGCGUUAAUCGGAAUUACUGGGCGUAAAGCGUGCGCAGGCGGUCUGUUAAG
rnacentral:rRNA from 1 species